UCCAAGUCAAAGCCCAGACUGUCCAAGGCCAGACUCAUGUGGCCCUCUCGGCUCCCUGAGUCCCCUUACACUCAUUCCUUCCUGCUGACCUGGAAUUCCGUGCUUUUCCUCUUAUGUCUCCUCGUCAAAUCAAGCUUUCGAAUGGAAUGUUGCUGAGUAGAUCAGUCUCACCUCCUUUCUUUAUUAUUCAAGCUCCAGGUGGCUGGGUCAUCUCCUUCCAUGAUCCAUCAGGUAGAGAAAACAGAAACCGGCUUCCGAGGAUAUAAAGCAAGAGGAAUUGAAUGCAAGGAACUGAAUUCAAGGUGAAGGGAAAAGUUAAGAAAUCAACCAGGGGAGAGGGCGGCAGCCCAGAGAUCAGCAACAGCUGAACGCCACCACCGCCUGAGGCUGGAGUGACACAGGCGGCAGGCAGGCUCUCCAAGGGCAAGCACGAAGGUCACCGGAAGGAAAAGUGAGGCCACAGCCACGGCGGGAGCCGGGGUCACGAGAGAAGCCGGUCUGCUGCCAGAGAUGGCACCCAAGGCAGAGCAGGAGGGGGAGAAAUACCGCGCCUCCUCCCACCCCAGCAGUCCUCUUGCCAAAGCCUCUGGUUGCCCACCCACACCCGGACAGCGCCGCCUGCAGAGCCUGCUCCUUACCACACAGAGCGGAGCCCAUACUCGGAACCGGCCUGAGCACAAGCAGGCCUGGGACGCGCGCAGGAGACCGGAAGUCCUGACAUCACGUGGUCUAGCCACGCGGAAGCCUGUCCCCUUGGGGCAGGUCUCAGGCGUUGCUCCUGCUAGCCCUUUCUGUAAAGCCAACACCACCUUCUAUCUUUCUCUAAACUGACCCCAGAGUAAA